UACAGAGCCUCGAGCGUUAGGCGGAAUCACUGGGCUUAAAGCGUGUGUAGGUGGAGUUCUAAGUACCUUGUGAAAUCCCACGGCUCAACCGUGGAACUGCUGGGUAUACUGGUUCUCUUGAGGUACCUAGGGGCGAGCGGAACAAGUGGUGGAGCGGUGAAAUGCGUAGAUAUCGGAAGGAACACCAGUGGCGAAAGCGGCUUCCUGGUCCAGCACCGACGUUCAGGCACGAAAGCGUGGGGAGCAAACAGGG
rnacentral:rRNA from 1 species